rnacentral:lncRNA from 1 species
UUUCUUAUGUAGGGAUAGAAUAAGCCUCAACCUUUCAUACCAUUAAGUAUUAAAAAAGGAGUUACUGCCAUUACAUUGGCGUUGCGUGGGCGUAUAGCUACACUUAGCUUUACAACUUUUCAUAGCGAAUGAGAUGUCAAGUCUUUCGUAUUGUGUUGAGUACAUUGAUGCGUCUAAUUGUACUUAGAUAGAAACUCCAUCUCUUAACACAUAUUUGUCAUUUUGCUUUAGACAAAACAACGGAUCUCUCUUUAGAGUAAAGACUUUGACUAAUCAUGGGAGUAUAUGUAGGCCUCACUUUCGUAAUAGCGCCUAAGCCGAUUGAUGGAAAAUCAUCAUCAAUACAGUCAUCGAGUGUUUUAUCGAGACCGUGUCUUCCGAAGAUCUUUUUCUUCGGAUGUUGAUACAUAUUGGCAUCUCUUGAUCUAUCAAGAGUCCAUGUAAAUCCGGAAUGAACACGCAAAGGCAUAAUUCACCAUAUCCCUUCCAAAUCAAGUAGAGUCCAUGUGCGUUUCAAUACAUUUAGCAAACGCAUGCUCCUAUGGUCUGGAGCCACUUGCUUUGGAUGAAUGAAGUCCAUUUAAAAUCUUCAUGUAUAUCUCUGAUCCCAAAGAGAUGUUAUUAUGACCACAUUCAUAGGCUGCAUGUUCAGUUAUUCGGAAACUACCAAACUGACAAAGUAGUGGAGUGCAAUGACAUCCAUUACGAAAGCAUAUCUCAUCGUAGUCGAUCUCAGUGCAUGUUAGUGAGAGACCUUGCGCCAUAAGGUGAGUCUAAGCUCUUGUUCUCACUACGCUAUCUAACAAAGGUAUAGUUGAUAGGGUUUAGCUUGCGGUGUCAGCAUCACCUGCCCAAUGACCUAUCUCUUUGUUAUGCUGGAUCACAUCUUUCCAUUAGGCCAAUCAACUAAGUUGAUAUCCAUCAACGAAGGGUGGUUCGAUAGUAGACUCAUUAUCCCACGUCCUCAUGUACACUAGUGUAAUACUUGUAGAGAUCUCUAUAUGGAUUGGAUUUGACAUUGAGGCGUCCCUCAACGAUAAUCACAAUUUAGACUUCAUGAGACGGAUUUGAGUAUCACUGAUCAAUGGAUCAGGUUGUGCCAAGCUCGCUUUCUUCCUAGUACGAGAAUAUAUCGAACCUAAGGGCCUCCCUCCUUUUGGGGAGCCACACGGCAUUGUGACACCAAUUUUGCCACUAUAUGGCGUCACUAUAUCACCAUCCAUGGUGAUGGCGUCAAGACCAACACAUUUUGGUCGCGUCAUGUCCUUUUGAUAGGACAUCAAUCCUUACAGACAUAUUUGCAGCAUGUGAUCUCGUCACUUUAACACUUUAAGCAUUUGGGAUCAAGAUGAGACUUAGUGGGGACAAACCACAACAAUUCAUGUCGUUCCACUUGAACACUUGUGUUCUUAUCUCCCCCUAACGGCGGGAAUAUUGUCUCAUCAAAGUGACAAUCCACAAUUUAGCGGUGAAUGAGAUUGCUUGACAAGGUUUCUACAUAUGCGGAUUUAUAGGUAGAGGUUCACAUCCAACCUAAAUACUUAUUCAUCUCAAAUGACCCAUCAUUGUACGUAGUGGCAAUGCGAUUUGGCACCUAGAAAUAACAUCUAGCCGAGCUCAGGGAUUGGAGAUCCAUUUCAAUCUUGUUUGAGAUCAAGGAUUGCAAUCCUGAUACACAGUCACGAGCUGUAGUACAAAAAUAUUCAAUGAUGGUGGGUCGUAGAUGAAUUGUAAAGCUGCAUGCAAAUAUUGCAUAGCCCCAAGACGCAAUAGAAAAAUUGGUGCACAUCAAUAAUAUUCAAGCGACAAGCUAAAGUUGCUUAGUCGUAGUCUCGGUGAGACCGUAUUGCGUGUGAACAUGGGGUACAGGACACUUCAACUUACAUCCCGAUAAACUUAUUUAAAGAAUGGGUAGUGAGCCCGUAGAAGUAUAAGCAACAUAAACAGUAGAUAAUAGUGUAACACGUGACCAGUGUGCUAACACUUCAACCAACACCAUAAAGCAUAAAAGGUGUCCGCAAGUUGGUUGUAUCUAUCUACAUAGUUUGAUGUAAGAAUAGAAUGUUCACUUUUGUGUCAUUUAGCGUAGGAGGGUCUCACUCCUAAUUUAGCUAAAGAAUAGGCUUUCAAAACGAGGAAUGAGCAUUGCAGGGGGUCAAUGCGACAUCGAGGGAAGGCCGGUGCACCUCAAUUGCUUGAGGAAUUGACCGGACGAUCUCCAAGAAGUUGGAGUCGUGUUUGGGUGACGUCAAUGUUCCCCGGGUCACCACCAUGCUUCAUGGUGAUGCUAGAUCUCAAAUGUCUUCGUUUUGAGCGGAAAAAUGGAUGUCCAUGAGAAUUUCUCAAAAUUUGGACCAUUAUAUCUCUUCCAGGUUGACCAAUUUGGUCAAACCAAAGCCUAUAUGAGUUAGUAUCCCAAAUAUCAUGUUUGGCGACAACAUGAGAUUCGAUAUUCGAAUCAUAGUGACAUACAGUCCACUAGAUUGACUCAUGAAUUUCUCCAAGAUGCGCUUCAGUCCGCAUUCAUGAGAAGGUAUACACAAAAGAAUUCUUGUUCAUUCUCAUAAUGUGUUUUCAAAUGAAAACUAUUAGCAGGAAUGUCUUUAAAGCUCAAUAUGUUCGAUUACCUCUCAAUGCAUAGAGGGUAUCUGUGACAUUGAUCAUGGUGCCAUGAGGCAUCAAGAUUUAAGCUAAACCGCGUCCUUGAAUGACCGGUAUGAUUCAAUCAUUGUAGUCAUAGAAGCUUUACAAAGGCACAAAAUCCAAAGAUAGUUACCGGUUCCUUAGAAUGUUGUGGAUAGUUCCACUAUCUGCGAAGCACUCAAUGUCUCGAUGAGACAUAUCUACAAGAAGGAGUAGAUAGGCUAGUUAAUAAUUCCACUUGAACUAUUUAGAAGGAUUGAAAGAAACUACGAAAAGCUGCAAUCCCGAGAGUGCAUAAAAAUUUCCGCGCAGAAUGACCUUUGCGCACUAAAACAGCCAUAACUUCCUCGUUAAAAUAGAUAUGGACGAACCGCGAAAAUUUCUAAAAACUAGACUCAUAGAGCUUUCCAAUGAUAUAAAGCUCACUGUCUGGUUCAUCCUGAGCUGUUCACAAAGCUUAAACGAAGUUGACUGUCCAGAAGGGACAGAUUGCUGUUUUUCGCAGAAUUGGCAUGUGCGAAGCUGUGAAGCUUGCAAGUGGCGUGUAGGCUUUUGCCUUAGCCACAAGUGACGUGUGUAUGAUCAAAACCAAGUCCUUUCGAUCAUUCUAAGGUCGUAAACUCCAUGACUAGUUAGCAAAAGCUCCCUGACAUGUGCGAAGAAUUGGCAUGUGCGAAGCUGUGAAGCUUGCAAGUGGCGUGUAGGCUUUUGCCUUAGCCACAAGUGACGUGUGUAUGAUCAAAACCAAGUCCUUUCGGUCAUUCUAAGGUCGUAAACUCCAUAACUAGUUAACAAAAGCUCCCUGACAUGAACAUAAACUAACUCAGAGGACCUAAAGGAUUAGAUCAUGAUGAUAAUUUUCCGGUUUUUGAUAAGUCUUCAACGUCUUUUGCAAGACGACAAUUGGUAUAAUAGCGUAGGGGGAUCCAAAAUCAAAAGCUUUUGGUAACUCCAAGUCAGUAUGACCAGACAUAUCCGUGGAAGGUCGGUAGUGCGAGGCACACUUGAAACCACUAUCUCCUUAAUUUCGGACAAUUUUAAGACAUCACACUGAGCUUGGAUGAGCCUAGUUGAACAAUUGAUGAUGGAAAAUCCGCUAUAGGGUAGAAGACUUAACCGGAAACACGUGGGCGAUCCUCUUUGAGGAUGCAGUGCCAUGAGUCACCUUCAAAAGAAGGGACAAAAAUCCUCACAAUAUGCCAUGUCUCUAAGGACGAUGUAAGAAUAUACAUCUUUUUUGUAAAUCAAUAUGAACCAUAAGAGGAGAAUAGUUUCACUUCGAAAAAAUUCCCAAGGCAUUCAUUAUUGCUAAUGUGAGUAUAUAUCGAGGUCUCGAAUAAACAAAGGACAUCGAUACGAUGUCUUAUUACAUAUAGCUUGGAAAGAAAAUCAAUGUCUAGUCAGUGACAUCAAAGUCAGGGGUAGCUAGAGCUGUUGAUUUUUCGUACUUUUUGUAUGCAUUCAUAAUUUGAAGGAGCUUGACAAUCUUGAACCAGUGAUCCGAAGAUCCACAACGGUUGCAUUAUCUUGAGCUGACGUGAGUAGUUUUGACAAAAUGGUGUCUAGAUCGGGAGUGUCACUAUUAGAGCCGGCGACACCUCCCCCUCUUUUCUAGACAUUAGCACGAUGUUUUCUGCCGUUGCCAUAACCCAUAUUGUUGUCCCCACAUUAGGGGAUAAUCAUAAAUAAAUUUAUCACAUUAGCGUAUAUAUACAAUUCCCGUAUAUAUGAUCAAAAUCAAGUCUCGUUGGUAAUUCCAAACCAACUUGGAGGACCUAGAGAACUUGAUGAUGAUCGAAUCCGCUAAAGGUUAUGGAUCAUAAUGCCACAAAAGAUCAUCGACAAUAUGUAGUCAAUUAAAGUGGUAAGCAAUCAACUUGACUAAUAACUCAACAAGUAGAGUUAUAUGGACGUUUCAAGAAACGCUCCAUGAGUGCAUUCCACAGUACUUUAUGGUCAUUACUUUUUGCACAGAUUUCCAUUGAAUGCUUGUCGAUGUGGCGCGUCAAAAACUUUAAGCGCAGGAGAUGUGAAAUCUCGGCAUCUAGGCUUGUUAGCCUGGGGGUCAAAAUAUGUGGUUUAAUCCUUUCCAGUGAAAGGUUCCAUAGAUACCAAGCGAAGAUUCGCCUUAGGUAUCGAGUACGUUAAAACUCAAUGAGCAGAAUGUUACGUUGCUCUUGCAUACAAAACCAAGCUGUUAUGAGACUCGAUAGAGGUCACAAAUAAUGCUUUUAAUGGUUUGUCCUUCGGAUUGAUCAUACACAAUCCGGAAAAAGCCGCGAAUUGAUCAAACACAAUUCGGAAAAGGCCUCGGAUUGAUCAAACACAGUCCGGAGAAAGGUCGGGGUUGAUCAUACACAACCCGGACAAAGAAGCAAGAGUGAUCAAACACACUAUUGACCCGCAAAUAAAAUUCCGGGAUUUUUGGUACCUGCACACACAAAAUCCCAAGCAUAGAAUGGAGAUGGAGAAGGGAGGAAAUAAUUUUAUCCUCCCCGAGUUAUUGAACUUGAAAAAGUUUAAGGUUUCAAAACAUACCUUUCUGGUUUCUUUGGAAGACGAGCAAUCUUGAAAUCUUUGGUUUCUAGAGGCUGCCGAGAGGAGAAACAACGUUUUGCCUACUUAUACUUCGAAUUUGGGGCUGAAAAUUUGACAGGAGGAGCAGCUCUGGAUGGGGAAGCUGCUGUCAAAAUUUCAGGUUGAUCAGAGCAAGGGAAGGUGGCGAACCGGUGGUCGGUAGCGGUGGCGGUCUGGAAUCUUCUGGCGGCCGGUUCGGAGACUUUCUGGCCGGUUCUCAGGGUGAGGCCGGCGGCGUUGGAUCCGGGACGGAGAGAGCUUUCUGGGGAUGUAACAUUCUGGCAGAGGGCAGUCGGAAUUUUGGUCGGAAAUCGGGAAAAACAAGGCUGUCCGAUUUUAGGGUUUGGAAAACAAAUGGUGGGCUAUUGGCUCUAGGGUUAGAACAAAGUGCUGAUAACAUGAUGAAAUAUAAAGUGUAGAGAAAGAGAGAUAGCAAGAGAAUCAUCAUCUUAUUUAUUGAUAAGAGCCCUUUAUAUAGGGAAUUACACAAUACCAAUAUGGUAAGGAUAUGAAUACAUAGAUCUAGUUAAACUACAUAUCCUAUUGGCAUAAGGCCAAUGCACACAUAAAGAAUAUCUAGAAAGAUACAGAAUAUGGUUUUCUUUCUCAUCACAUUCCUCAUUUUAGAGAAAGUUUUGGAGAAUUUGUUGGAGUAAAACAACUAAAAUUCUCCCCAAAAUUUAGAAAUCCAAGAAUAUGGAUUAACUCCAACAGCUUCCUUAUAAAUUUCUAAAAUUGUUAGAGCAACUUCAACAGUUUCCUAU